UUCAAAUGCCUUUGUUCUGUCCCGUCACAACUCACAACUAGUUGGAGGAACCUAGUGUGACACCCUCUACCCCUCACAUAUAUAUUAAUAAAGAAAUAAAAAUUCAAAUAUUAAUUAAAAGUAUUUUUAAAACAUUUUUAAAUACAAGUCUUUCAAAGGGGUAAAAGACUCACAUUCACUUUCUUCUACAUCAUAUUCAAACUUGUCCAAAUUUAUAAUAAAGUCAUCUCGGCUCAAACAAGGUCGUAUAAGCUUCAUAUAAUUAAUAUAAAACAUAUAUCCUAAUGUCACAUCCUAUCAGAGCGUUGUGUUCCCGUGUCCUCUAGCAUGAGGUUCUUCAUAGUCAUCCACCUAUUCAUCUACUCCCCCGAACACAAAGUUCAAGAUCAUCACAGGAUCUAAACACAAACAACAAACUAGGAGUGAGUUAUCACAUUCCUAACUACUAGAGAGAAAUAAGACAACAUAUAGUAGUCAAAUACAAUUUACUUAGCAUAUUUCACAUUAUUUCAUCACUUUGUCAUUCAAAAUUUACUUUUCAAUCAUCAAUCACAAUACACAAGAAUCACACACUUCGAUCAAGACAUAAUAACACAUCAAUUUCAUAAUAAACAAUUAGCAAGCGUAUGCAACAGUUAUGCUAAGACUCAAGCCUAUAUGCAAUGUGGUACCAUGUUAGUGAAAAACCUCGUCGGGCGCCUAGGAGUACAUGACAAGACAAACCACACACUAGCAAGUCAAGUCACUCUCACUAGGUAAUAUCAUAGGGAGACCAGUCAGGGUCACAAUGUUUUGCGAGAAUGCUCCAACCAUAUGGGAUCAACAUAGGCUUAAAGGAGCACUCAAACCAUGUGACCCCCAAGGCCUACACUCCGAAGAGUUCGUCAGGGCCUCUCCCUCCUGAUUCAGGUCCAACCCAGAAAACAUUUUAGCACACAGACUCUAUCUAUGAACUGUACAAAACACACGACUCCUCAAUUAUUCUCAAAAUAAUUUUAACUCGUCACCCUUUAAGGAUCUUAUCAUUAACUCUUCGCCCUUAAAGGGACUUAACAUUAACUCGUCGCCCAAAAAGGGACAUAGAAUCAACUCGUCGCCCUAAAAGGGACUUAACAUCAACUCGUUGCCCUAAAAGGGACUUAACAUUAACUCAUCGCCCUUAAAGGGACUUAUGAUCGUGUGAUUGUACAAUUCAUAGUUCACAACUCAAUGCACACAACACCUCAAUGCACAUAUAUAUCUCAAUCAUAUACAUACUCAAUUUAUCACAUACACUUAAUCCCAAUCACAAUGAUAUAAUCUCAAUUUAACACGUUAUCACACCUCAUGAAUCAUAUACACUUUACCUAUGAAUUAUGCAAUACACACAUUUACUCAAUUGUUUUCAAAGUCAUUUUAACCCGUUGGGUUCCCAUAGUGGAUCUCAUCACAAUACCCGUCACCCUUAAAGGGUCUUAUAAUUGUGUGAUUGCACAAUUCAUAGCUCACAACUCAAUACACACAUCAAUAUACAUUUAUUUCACCAUUUAUCGCAGGUUCAAUUUAUCACAUACUCGUAAUUUGAAUCACCAUUUCGUAAUAUCAAUAUAAUAAUUUAUACAAAAGGUUUGUCACAACAUGGACAAUAAAACCCUUCAAAUAAUUUCACACAAUUAUAUCAAAAUCAUGGGUCAAAAAGCAAAAACAUCAAGAACACUCAAGUUUAUUAAUUAAUUCUCAUCAAAACAUCAAUUGGUAUGUAGAACACAACCAUAUUGUAUUUAUAAUCAUAAAGGAAAAAUUAUAAUUCAAUAAACAUCCCAAAAUAAAUCCAAAUUUAGUUCUCCAAGGAUCCCUACACAUGUUCAUUCUAACCCCAAUUGCGAUAAACUCAUCCCUUACCUCUAAGCGGACUCACAGCAGCGGACUCACGUGUCUUCUGACAGUGAUAGCGCCAUCUCUAGCGGUUCCUUGAGAUUUCUCCAGUUAUUCCUCCGACUGUUCCAAUAGAAUUCUCAAACGUCAGAGAAGAGAUUGAAGCCUUCACUUGUACUGUCUUCAUGCGAUUCCUUUUUCUCCCUCCAAGAAUAUUAUCUCGCAAAUCCCAACGGUGAAAGUGUGCACAAUUGAAUUUCGAACAACAUAUCCAAAUUUGACUACAAUCCAACGGUUAACGAAUCCGGGAUCGUAGUUUUACCGAGAUAGUUUUGAGUUUCUGCUAGAAAAUAAAAGGCUACAAUGCGAAGGGUUUUCCUCUAAGCUCAAACAUGAUUUUGAAAUUCCCAACGGUGAGAAUGUCCGGAUUUGGGUUGCGAACGUGACACUCAAAUUUCACGAUGAUCUAACGGUGAAUGAAUCUGAGAUCAUCAUUUUUCUGAUACAGGUUUUGUAGGCUGCGGGAAAAAGAAAGAGUUUUGGGGAAGAGGAGAGGAAAAACGAAAAUGAAGG
rnacentral:lncRNA from 1 species